UGCUGCAAAAACUCUCAAAUGUAUCCUACUAUUGAUGAUAUACCAAUAUUACGAUUAUACCCUAAAUAUUAAACUAUAACCCUUAUAUAUAUACAUAUAGGAUAGGACUGCUAUACUCUUAUGAAAUGUGACAUCCAAAUAAUCCCACAUCGGAUGGGAAUGAGGUUGUCAUUGGGUUUAUAAGAGACUUAGACACUAGUAAUAAUAACUGGACUUAAGCAUUUUGGGCUGUGGUUGGGCCCAACGAGUUAUUAUUGCUAAUGGGCUGAGUCGUUAUAUUUAGUAUCAGAGCCGGUUCACCAGCUGGACAUGUGUGGCGAGUCUCGGCUGAGCCAGGGUCUGGAUGACGGGCUAGUGAGAUAAGUCUCACAUUGCCUGGUGAUCUUGGGUUGUAUGUGUGAUUGGACUGACGAGGACGUCAGGGCCUUAACGGAUAGACACUAGUAAUAAUAACUGGGCUUAAGUAUUUUGGACUGUGGUUGGGCCCAACGAGUUAUUAUUGCUAGUGGGCUGGGUCGUUACAUGAGUAUAAAACCUUUUAUAAUUUUCGACUGUUGGAUAAAAGGAUGUGUGGUUAUGAUGAUAGUAGUCUCCCAAGAUUGAGUGGAUGGUUGGUUAAAUAGUAUAAUUUAACGGAUAAAAACGAUCAAAAAAUAUCUAACGGUAGAAAAUUCGAUAAUAUCAAAAACUUGAUACCAUCGAUAGCAUAAUAGCCAGACUCUAUAUACAUACGCCAGUUCAUCAUCAAUAUAAGAUAAUACUAAAAAAAAAGGUACUCAUGCAUAUCUUU
rnacentral:lncRNA from 1 species